CCCUGAGCGCUCUUUUAGCGAACGGAAGGGUUGCUGCAUUUCGCGCGUGCCCGGGACGCCAUCGCGGGCCUCACCCCUCGGGCUCUGCAGGAGAAAAGGGAAAAGCUGCCCUGCGGCCGACCCUGAGUAGUCAUUUCAUCAGCUCAGACAAGACCGCGCCAUGAAGCAGCCAAAUCUGUUUUAACUACAGCACAACAGCACAUAACUCCAAGACUCCUGACAGUCCAUGGAAUGAAGGAUGGAUACCAGGAGUUACUCAGGGAACCCCAAUCCCGCAGCCAUAAAGCUAAAUAAAGACCUUCUACAGAUAACCCUAGGACAGUCCUGUCCUCCGAGGGUCGUAGAGAGCUCUUCCUAAAUCGAGGUGUAGCUCAGGGGUUGUGGUGGUUAGUGUUGUCAAGCUGACUUGCUCUGGAUUCACCUGGACAGAGAAUCACCAUGACUGUCAGAUCACGCUGGUCUGUGGAGAGGUAGGAAGACCUGCCCACUGUGGGUGGCACUAUUCCUGGGCAAGGGACCCGGGAAAGGAGAGUUGAGCCCUAGCUUGUGUGCAUUCGUUCCCUGUUCUCUGCUCUUGACUGUGGGUGUAGUGUGACCAGCUGUUUCCAGUUCCUGCCAUAUUGACUUCCCACAGUGAUGGACUGUCACUGGGAAUUCAGAUACAGAGACAAGGCACCUGGCAUCUGAAUCUCAGCCAAUCCACAGGCUUCCUAACCUUGAGGGCAGAAGAAAGGGAUCUUAAUAUCGUUGCCACUUUUAGGUGGACCUAAGAUCCCAUCUGAUGAGCUCACGCCAGCCAGUGGAAGAGAUACACGAGCUUGGGGCUCAAAAGGGUAUGUACUCUGAAGAUGAAAUCAUAAACGAGGACAUCUGAUGUGUGUCUCAUACACAAUGAGCAAAGGGAGGCUGCUGACGGAAAUGUCACACGCAGCUGCUUUGAGAGCUCGCUCUCCCCCGUGCUGCUCCGCCCCGCCCUCUUCCUGCGUGCCAGUCAUUUGGGGCUCGCUGUUCUCAUCCUGCGUGCUUUGAAGCGGGCUGUAAAUUGAUAGCUGUUACUGCAGUCUCUUCAUGGUUGGUUGAUGUGCCUGAUGGGGCUAUAAGAAAAACUGGCUCGGCUACAGUUUGAGUCACGGAGGAAGAUUUACCUCGGGAGAGACUUGCCUGCAGUGCCCUGAACAGUUAAAAGUGCUGCCUGUGGUUCCCAUUACACUGUUCAUCAACGUACUCAGAACAAACUGUUUUCUCCUACAACUUCCUCAGUUGUUCAACUAAAGCCUGCAGCCCUGUGUGAAUUAAUGAGUUGGGGAACAGGCUGUUUCCUCCAACCUUGAGCUCUCUCCCCUCUACUUUUCCAUCGCUCAGCCCUCCUUUUUGGGAUUUAAGUUGAGAAACUUGCACAUUUUGAAGACAUCUUUCCUAACCCGACUGCUUAAAACGAGGAUGACUCACUAUCUCCCUCUGUAGCACUCAGUCUUGGUUUUUACAACCGAUGUUAGGCUCACUUCCUAGGAAUUGUUCGGUGUUUGUCUUCGCUAUCAGAUUGUGAGUUUCAUGAAGGGUGAAAUUGUGCCUGUCUGCGUCUUGACUCUCCAGCACCAUGUUCCCUGCGUCACCAAGUUCGUUCGGGGAAUAAAUGAGUGAUAAAUUCUA